rnacentral:tRNA from 1 species
UGUGUAGAAGUUUAUAUGGGUUAAGUUCGUUGGGGUUAUUAGAGAAAGAAUUGAUUACUGCUAAUAAUUGUUAGCCAAUUUAAUUUGGCCUUCUCUU